UGGGGAAUAUUGGACAAUGGGCGAAAGCCUGAUCCAGCCAUGCCGCGGGUGUGAAGAAGGUCUUCGGAUUUUAAAGCACUUUAAGUUGGGAGGAAGGGCAGUAAGCGAAUACCUUGCUGUUUUGACGUUACCGACAGAAUAAGCACCGGCUAACUCUGUGCCAGCAGCCGCGGUAAUACAGAGGGUGCAAGCGUUAAUCGGAAUUACUGGGCGUAAAGCGCGCGUAGGUGGUUCGUUAAGUUGAAUGUGAAAGCCCCGGGCUCAACCUGGGAACUGCAUCCAAAACUGGCGAGCUAGAGUGGGGCAGAGGGUGGUGGAAUUUCCUGUGUAGCGGUGAAAUGCGUAGAUAUAGGAAGGAACACCAGUGGCGAAAGCGACCACCUGGGCUCAUACUGACACUGGGGUGCGAAAGCGUGGGGGGCAAAAAGG
rnacentral:rRNA from 1 species